UAAAAAACAAACUAUGGUUAUUCGUGUCCAACGUUUACCUGUUCGUCUUAUAUGGAAUAUUUUUAUAAUUAGUAUUUUUAUUAUUGUUAGAUGAUAAAAUAUGAUUAAUACUUUAUGCGUGACUUGUCUUUUUAAUUUUUUUCAUACUUUUUUUUAAAUAAGACGGACGGUCAAACGUUGGACACGAAAAAUCAUGAUUUAUA
rfam:Oryza rufipogon genomic scaffold, chr03